rnacentral:tRNA from 1 species
AGAGAUGAAGUAUUAAUCUUUGUACAUUUUAUUUACAUUAAAAAGGAUUUCAAAUGAAACAUCUCUA